rnacentral:rRNA from 1 species
UACGUAGGGUGCAAGCGUUAAUCGGAAUUACUGGGCGUAAAGCGUGCGCAGGCGGUUAUGCAAGACAGAUGUGAAAUCCCCGGGCUUAACCUGGGAACUGCAUUUGUGACUGCAUAGCUAGAGUACGGUAGAGGGGGAUGGAAUUCCGCGUGUAGCAGUGAAAUGCGUAGAGAUGCGGAGGAACACCGAUGGCGAAGGCAGCCCCCUGGGCCAAUACUGACGCUCAGGCACGAAAGCGUGGGGAGCAAACAGG